CCUACGGGUGGCAGCAGUGAGGAAUAUUGGUCAAUGGGCGCGAGCCUGAACCAGCCAAGUCGCGUGAGGGAAGACGGUCCUAUGGAUUGUAAACCUCUUUUGUCGGGGAGCAAAAGACGCCACGCGUGGCGUUACGAGAGUACCCGAAGAAAAAGAAUCGGAUAACUCAGUGCCAGACGCCGCGGUAAUACGGAGGAUGCGAGGGUUAUCCGGAUUUCUUGGGUGUAAAGGGUGCGCAGGCGGAAGAUCAAGACAGCGGUAAAAUUGAGGGGCUCAACCUCUUCGAGCCGUUGAAACUGGGUUUCUUGAGUGAGUGAGAAGGAUGCGGAAUGCGUGGUGUAGCGGUGAAAUGCAUAGAUAUCACGCAGAACUCCGAUUGCGAAGGCAGCAUACCGGCGCUCAACUGACGCUCAUGCACGAAAGUGUGGGUAUCGAACAGGAUUAGAUACCCGAGUAGUC
rnacentral:rRNA from 1 species